ACGAACGCUGGCGGCGUGCCUAAUACAUGCAAGUAGAACGCUGAAGGAGGAGCUUGCUUCUCUGGAUGAGUUGCGAACGGGUGAGUAACGCGUAGGUAACCUGCCUGGUAGCGGGGGAUAACUAUUGGAAACGAUAGCUAAUACCGCAUAACAGUAGAUGUUGCAUGACAUUUGCUUAAAAGGUGCAAUUGCAUCACUACCAGAUGGACCUGCGUUGUAUUAGCUAGUUGGUGGGGUAACGGCUCACCAAGGCGACGAUACAUAGCCGACCUGAGAGGGUGAUCGGCCACACUGGGACUGAGACACGGCCCAGACUCCUACGGGAGGCAGCAGUAGGGAAUCUUCGGCAAUGGACGGAAGUCUGACCGAGCAACGCCGCGUGAGUGAAGAAGGUUUUCGGAUCGUAAAGCUCUGUUGUAAGAGAAGAACGAGUGUGAGAGUGGAAAGUUCACACUGUGACGGUAUCUUACCAGAAAGGGACGGCUAACUACGUGCCAGCAGCCGCGGUAAUACGUAGGUCCCGAGCGUUGUCCGGAUUUAUUGGGCGUAAAGCGAGCGCAGGCGGUUAGAUAAGUCUGAAGUUAAAGGCUGUGGCUUAACCAUAGUACGCUUUGGAAACUGUUUAACUUGAGUGCAAGAGGGGAGAGUGGAAUUCCAUGUGUAGCUGUGAAAUGCGUAGAUAUAUGGAGGAACACCGGUGGCGAAAGCGGCUCUCUGGCUUGUAACUGACGCUGAGGCUCGAAAGC
rnacentral:rRNA from 1 species